ACGAACGCUGGCGGCGUGCUUAACACAUGCAAGUCGAACGGAAAGGCCCUGCUUUUGUGGGGUGCUCGAGUGGCGAACGGGUGAGUAACACGUGAGUAACCUGCCCUUGACUUUGGGAUAACUUCAGGAAACUGGGGCUAAUACCGGAUAGGAGCUCUUGCUGCAUGGUGGGGGUUGGAAAGUUUCGGCGGUUGGGGAUGGACUCGCGGCUUAUCAGCUUGUUGGUGGGGUAGCGGCUUACCAAGGCUUUGACGGGUAGCCGGCCUGAGAGGGUGACCGGCCACAUUGGGACUGAGAUACGGCCCAGACUCCUACGGGAGGCAGCAGUGGGGAAUAUUGCACAAUGGGCGGAAGCCUGAUGCAGCAACGCCGCGUGCGGGAUGACGGCCUUCGGGUUGUAAACCGCUUUCGCCUGUGACGAAGCGUGAGUGACGGUAAUGGGUAAAGAAGCACCGGCUAACUACGUG
rnacentral:rRNA from 1 species